rnacentral:lncRNA from 1 species
GGACCCACUGGUCAAGCGGGCUCGGCAAGGCCAGGAUGAAGAGAAGCUACGAACUUAGCAUUCCCAGAGCCCCCCGAGUGGAUAUCCGCGUGGAAAGGAUGUUGGCAGCCCCGGUGACCUCGGAGUCACGGCUGGAUCCACCCUCUUGUCUGAUUUUCUUAACUCUACUACGGUAAGAAGAUGCCCUCCAUCAGCAGGCCGUGUCUGCUGGGACCUCUCUGGAGACUUCCUGAACCCUGUGGAUUUACAGUAAGAUGCAGUUUCCUGGGGAGUAAUUCUGGUGGAUACAAAUUCCGGAGUAUUACACCUGGCUUGCCUGGAGAUGUUACAAGUAGCUGGAUGGAUUCUUCAGCCUGGAUGCCCACUGAAAACAAGGACCGAAACUAAGAGGAUUGUAUCUCUACCCUUGACUCAAUGAGAAUGUUUGUUGUCAUCUCUCGGGCUACCUGGAGCUCCCUCUAAAAUAGAGCCGAGUUCUGUCACCACAGACAUUGGCAGUGGCACUUGCAUGCCCCUGGCAAGCAGUCUAUCCUGAGGUGGAGGAAGUUGCCCUUGAGUUCUGGCUGGUAACCAGCACAGAUGUGAAGCGUUGACUUAAGAGAUGCCAAGUAACUCAGCAGAUGUCACACAGACGAUAAAUAGCAAAGAUGGAAGUCUUCAUGCCGGAGGCAAUCCUAUAAGACAGCUGAGUUCUGCAGAGCUGGUAGGAGACAGACUUGCUCAGGUGAUAGAUCCAGCCAUGAUACUGACCCUAAGAGAAUGAGACGCUCUGCAGAAGACAGAAGAUUCCUGAAACUGGGAAAGGUGCCUAGAAAUCCUGAUAAGAGUGAAGAAGCCAUGGAUCCCUACCUGGGUGAUAUAAAACAAAAUAAAACAAGAAUGAAGAAAUCUGGAAACAAAGCUAAGAAGUAGUUCAUGAGUCUAAGAGUUGCAACUGAUUUCUUAGACAUGACAAAGAAGAGAAGAUGACAGGCUACUUAAAUGGAAGGAACUUAAAUGAAUUGUCAAGUCGAGGCUGCAGAGAUGGCUUGGAAGUUACAAGUGCUUGCUGCUGUUGCAUAGGACCAACUUGUGGUAGCACAUUAAGGAUGGAGCCUAUGGUGAAGUAGAAUCCCACUUUCUCUGCUUGGUAAGGAAAAGCAUGGCACUCAACGGUGAGAUGAUCAUUUACAAACAACAGUGGAUACAUUGAAUGUGGGCCCUACGGUGAUAACCUGAUGAGAUUUCAGUGAAAUGAUGAGGGCCCCACCAACGCUCACCACUGCACUUCAUAAUGCCUUGGACAUUUUGACUUUCUGAAUAGUCAGGGCUGGUCUUCCAUUUGAGUCUACCAAGCGAGAGGAUUCCCUGAGACACUUUGCAAGCCUCCCUGCUGUGAAAGAAGAGGACUAUGUUUGGAAGGCUUCAGACUACACUCAACAGUGAGUGAUGGGCAGAGGUGGCUGUGUGCUUUGUCCCAUUAUGUAAAGAAGACACAACCUUUCAGUUAUCUUCCACAGUUUCACAGCUGUGACUUACUGAAGACCAAAUCUGGCCAUGCUACUCUAUGCCUAACAUCUUCAGGAUCAAGACCCAGCUCUAGAGUAAUUUUGUCCACAGUCAUGCCUUUCCCCCACUUCUCUCUCCGCACUGCCACAACUGUCAACUUGAUACAAGCUAAAAUUAUCAGUAAAGAAGAAACCUCAAUUGAGAAAACUCUCCCUACCAGAUUGGCCUGUGGAGCAAUUUCUUGGUUGAAGACUGAUGUUGGAGGACCCAUCCCACAAUGAUUCUGCCGUCCAUGGGCCAGUGGUCCUGAUUCUUGUUACAAAGCCAACUGAGCAAGCUACAAGAAGCAAGUCUUAGAAAGGAUUCUGCUUCAGUUCCUGCUUUCACGAACCUUCCAUGCUUGUUUUCCUGCCCAGACUUCCCUCAGUGAUGGAUCUUUAUCUAGAAGUCUAGUCUGAAAUAAGCUUUUGCUCAGUGUUAUAUUACAGCAGUGGAAACUCUAAGAUUCCACAUAUGUAUUGGUCAGGAUCUGGCAGAAUCUCUUAGGAGACAGUUGUAUCAGGCUCCUGACGCAUCGGACUGAGCAUGGGGACCCCAUGGAGGAGUUAGAUGAAAGGCUGAAGGAGCUGAAGGGACCUUAUCUGGCAUCAAUGGGAGGAGAGGCCCUUGGUCCUGAGAAGGCCCCUUGGUCCUGUGAAGGCCUGAUGCUCCAGUGUAGAGGAAUGGUAGAGCAGUUAGGCAGAAAUGGGUGGGUGGGAGAGCAUACUCAUAGAAGCAGGGUAAGGGAGGAUGGGAUAGGGGGUUUGCAGAGGGGAAACUGGGAAAGGGGAUAACAUUUGAACUGUAAAAAAAAAUCCAAUUAAAAAAAUAAAUGGUAUUUAUCAGGCUCUGGUAGAGUCUCUCAAGAGACAGCUAUAUCAGGCUCCUGUCAGCAAGUACUUGCUGGCAUCCACAAUAGUGUCAGGGUUUGGUAGCUGUAUAUGGAUGGAUCCCCAGGUGGGACAGUCAAUGGAUGACCUUUCCUUCAGUUUCUGCUCCAAACUUUCACUCUGUAUGUCCUCUCAUGGGUAUUUUGAUUCUUCUUCUAUGAAGGACUUAUGUAUCCACACUGUGGUCUUCCUUCUUCUUGAGCUUCAGGUGGUCUGUGAACUGUAUCUUGGGUAUUCCGAGCUUCUGGGCUAAUAUCCACUUAUCAGUGAGUGCAUGCCAUGUGUGUUCUUUUGUGAUUGGGUUACCUCAGUCAGGAUGAUUGGACUGAACAAGGGUCCCCCAAUGGAGGAACUAGAGAAAGGACCUAAGGAGCUGAAGGGGUUUGCAUCCCCAUAUUAGGAAAAACAAUAUGAACUAACCAGUACCCACAGAGCUCUCAGGGACUAAACCACCAACCAAAGAGUACACAAGGAGGGACUCAAGGCUUCAGCUGCUUAUGUAGCAAAGGAUGACCUUGUGGGACAUCAAUGAGAGGGGAGGCCCUUGGCCUUGUGAAGGUUUGAUGCCCCAGUGUAGGGGAAUGCCAAGACAGGGAAGCAGGAGUGGGUGGGUUAAUGAGCAGGGGGAGGAUGGAUGGGAUAGGGAGGGUUUAGGUGGGGAAAUGAGGAAAGGGGAUAAAAUUUGAAAUGUAAAUAAACAAAAUAUCUAAUAAAAAUGAAAAAAUAAAAUAAAUUGUAUAUAAUAAGAAUAAAAAAACCUACCUUAGCUGCCUUUGAUGUUGCUUCUCUUUACGUACACAACCCUAAGAUUCAUUGUAUUGGGACCUCCAUGCCAACGUGUUCUACAUUUAAGAAUUUAAACACCUCAGAAUAAAGAAAAAUUUACAUGUCU